rnacentral:lncRNA from 1 species
AUGGGAGAGGGAGGGAGGAGGGGGCAGAUCGCGGACCCGAGCGAAGGCAAGGCGGCGAGGGGGACAGAAGCGGGGCCCCAGAGCGGCCCCGGUCCCUCGAGCCACGCCGACGGCUGCAGACCCCCAGCGCGGGCUGAGCGCGGGCGGCAGGGCCGGGCCCGGGAGCGCCACCCGCGGCCGCACUCACCUGCAGCGCCCCGUCCGCGCCCGGUGCCCCGCCGCUCCGCGCGCCCGCCGGUUGCUAGGACGCGAGGUAAACACCCGGCGCCCCGGCUGCGCGCAGGGCGUCGCCGGCCGGCGGAGGAGAGCUCGGAGCCCGCCCUCCGCGGUCGCCCCGCCACGGCGCCCAGUGCACGGAGCCCGCGCUCCCGCCCGUCCCCGGCGCCCGCCGGCCGGGCCCUCGGCCGCCGCCAGGCGAGGGGACCCUGCGCUCGCACCCCUGCGCCCCGCUCGUCCUCUCCCUGGAAACGGGGCUCUUCAACCUCCUUCCUCGAGCGCUGGGCCCGACUCCCUCCACCAGGCGGGAAAGCUUUACCUGAACUAAGGUCACUAGCGGGGAGGGCUGUUAGCAACCACUUCGCGAUGUCACAGGAAGCACAGAGCAACUAUUCGUUCGUUCGUAACACCUAUAAAAGUUGUUAGGAAUGGAAUCAUUUUGCCUGAAGCCAAGAAGCCAAGAGUUGCAAUUUGUCAGAAAGAAGGAUUACAUGCCAUUAGGUAUAUAAUCUGAAGGGAGCCCUUUCAAAAACUGGAUAGCUCACUCUCUGAGACAAUCGCAGCUCCAUACCUAUAGAGCUGAUGCCCGUCACAAACUGGAGAGGGUCGACAAGCUGGCGAGGGUCAGAGUCUGCCCUUCAGAGGGGUCCUGGAGCUGUCCUAGAAGCAGGAAGCUCCUUUGGGUACUUUGUUUCAGUUGCACACUUUAAUCAGCUGUAUGAUAUGAGACAGCACUACUGGGCCCAACUAGAAACUUUGGCUUGCAGAGCUGGAAAAAGCCAAUCCCCAUCAAGAUCUGAACGUCUGUCCCCUCAUUUGCCGUAUUCACCCCUAGCGUCAGAAUCUACCAUUGCUUAUCUGAUGGCGAAGUCUGAAUUUAUUAACUUGAGAUUUUCCGAGAAAAAAGCAUGUAAUAAUAUUUAAAUUUGUAAAAUUCCAAGCUGGCUUAUUCCAAUUUUUCCAUGUUAGGUUGAAGCUCUAACUUGGCUGACCUUCAGCUCUCAGCUUAAAUGACUACCUCUCAGCGAGUGCUGACCUGCCCACCUAAAGAAGCCCCACAGUCCCUCCCUGUAGGACUUAUUGCCUGUCUCCUACCGCUACAGUAAGCUCCAUGACAUAGGGACCUUUUCUGUCUCCUACAAGUCUGGAUCCUUAAGAUCUAGAAGAACAACUGACACACGGAAGGAGCAAAAUUGAUGAAUCACCCCAUUAAAGAUGGCUUACUACUUGACAUUCUUUGUUGAACCAAAUACCACAAGGGUGAGGCCCACAUUUUCCUGGACAUGGUGGAUAGAACCCGUUUGAUGACUCUAAGUGGCUGUGUUCCUGGAAGUUUUCAACACUAGAGGACACCCAGGCAUUUGCUGUAGCAGAGACCUUUCCCGGGAGCGUGAGCAUGUGACCCAGUUCUGUCCCAUGGAACUUUAGAGAAGGUCUGCCAAGGGCUUCUGGGAAAGACUUGAAAGUUUUUAGUCCACCCCCACAACUUUAUGUCAGCUAAAUAUGCUCCCUGUGUAAUCGCCCACCACGGCUCAGGCCAGCACAGCUCCUCUGGUGCCUAGAAGAGUUCAGGCACAGAGUCUGGGUGUAGUCUGCUAGGGCAGCCAUAACGAGGUACCACACACUGCGUGGCUUAAACAACAGAAAUUUAUUGUCUCACAGUUCUGGAACCGAGAAGUCCAAAAUAAAGGCGUUAGCAGAAUUGAUUCCUUCUGAGGG